AAAAUAGUUGGCAUUGCUUUUAUUAUUUAUGCCUACAUGUUUACAAACGUUAAUGAAAGGGUAUAGAAAUAAUGUUUGGGGUCAAAGCUCAAACGUUCGACGUUUUGCACGCACGUGAUCCGGGAAUUAUGAUUUGCACGUGGGAAUUUCUGAUUGCAUGCUUGAUGUCUCGUGCAAAAAGGCCAUGAAAUCCAGACCUUUGAGAUUAACACGGAAGAUACAUCAGAGUCGGUCUUUGUAAACUUUUUUACAUACUUCGUCAUUCGAUGAUUUCAAUGUAUCCUGAAAAACGAGAAAACAAUCUGCGAGUAGGUGUUUAGAAGAUUGCAUAUAGGCCUAUGGAAACAUGGUGACCUAAUAAAUAUUAGGAAAUACCAUAUAGGAAAUUGCUGAAUCUAAUUUGUUCAAUUGAUUUUAAUCAAGAUGAUUCGGAUUCUCAAAAGCACGAAGAAAAAACAGGAAAUCCUUGAGUUGUUGCUCCUCUUCUUGCUCAUAUUUUCGAAGAAUGUCGAAUCAUUCAACGAAUCAUCGAUGCAUGAGAAGACAAUCAUAGACAUGUGAAAGCAAAUAUGGGUCAUCUCACAAAUAUAACUAAUUCUAUUGUUGAAGGAUUAGAAAAAGAAGUAAAUUGCGCAAUGUUGAAAAGAUUUUUGAGUGACAUCAGCACGAUUGUUUCAAGCUGUUUGUAAAGCCAGAGUUGCUCAUUUUGAAUGAUGAAGAACAUUCUAAUAAAAGUGAUGAUGAUAUUAGGGAUGGAAGACCAAAUACUUUUGCUGACGGCGUUCGAGGAAGCCCAACAUCGAACACGAUAUCUACAACACCCACUGUCACUGUAAUGCAUCGGUCAUAUUCUGGCAGUAAUACUUGGAAGUAGUGAUAGUAAUGAAAGUCCGGUUGGUAGUCCGUUACCCAAGGCAAUUAAGUUUCUGGAUGCAGAAGAGCGUAUGGACACCUCACAAUCUCUUGGAUGGAAGGCUGAUUUUGACCAUGAUUUUGAGAGUGGUAGUAGCAAUGAAAGUUAUUUAAAAGGUAGUUCCGCGUCGAAUCUUCCGAUUCAGAUGAAAAAAAGUUUUAGAUGGUGAUCAUAUGAUGGAUGUUGGACAGGAUUCCAAAGUGGAUGAAAUUGUUAUAUCGUCGAAUGCCAAUACAGCAAAUGAAAACUAGGCCGAUAUUGAAAUAUUAAAUAGCAACACUGAAGAUGUAGUGUCCAGAAGUGAAUCUUCGAAACAACAGGUAUCUUCGCAAGAACAAACUUCUGCUUCAUCAUAUUCUGCAGCGGAUUCAACCAGUUAAAUUACAAAUUUAGAAGAUUUGGAUGCAGGAUCUCCGAUGACUGUCACAUAUCAACAUUCACCAGGUUCUGAUGUAGAUGACCAAAGGACGGAUAAAAGUACGAUUACUGUGACUUCAAGUAAUGGAGGUGAAAAUGUAUCUGAUAUUGAUGACAGGGAGCAAGGCUGCUAACAUUGAAAUAUCUUAUGGCGAUAACAAUAGUACAGAAUCAACUGAUCCUACUCCAGCGAUCGAAAGUCUGGUGCAACAGAGUGCUGUAAGUGACACUAGUGAUGCGGCUGACGCUGCUAGUUCAGGUGAUGAUAAUUGGUUAAUUACAGAAAUAAUCCUGUCCCUGACACAUCCAAAUGCUUCUGCUACACAUUUUGGCGUCGUGUCGCAGUGAGAAGGCUCUGAAUCUACAGGGAAUCCCCUGAAACAUGGGUUGUCUCACUAUGUGCAACACCAUGGGGUUUCUUCCUCAUCUGCCGUGGAUACAAAACUUACUGACAUUGUCACCUCUGAGGAUACCAGAGAUUCAUCGGCAGUAAAUCCACCAUCCGAAAUCAAAAUGAAUGGUCCUGCAUGAUUGUCAUGCUCAAUCCAAAGAAAUGGUUCCUAUUCAGUCUUCCAUCGAACGUGGAGGACAAACUGCGCGAGUCCAGUCUUUCAUUGGUCCAAAAUAUUGGAACCGAAACAAUACGAAGUGCUGUUCAAUCAAAUACUUUUAAAUACAUGUUAAACACUUGUUGUUAAACAUUUAUUGUGACAUAUAAAUAAGUUCUGUUUUUCUGUUUCAAAUCGGUAUUUACAAUAUUUUUGAAACAAUGGAGAAAUUGAUUUAUGAUAUAAAUGUAUGUAUGUAAUUUGAUAAUGUAUAGUUGCUGUCAACCUUGUCAGUGACAACAGUGACUGUUGCUAUUGGCGUCGAAUGUUUAAUUUAUUAGUCGUCUUCACUAAUUGUCUGCCCCAAUCCACCUGUCUGUUAUGACAAUUGUUUUGCGAGAUUUUCUUUACUCAUCCUCAUUAGUAGAAUCUUUUAUCAUUUAUGAGCUAACUUGCUUGGUGUAGUGCUUGAUUGUCCAAUAAUUUUCACCAUGUGAAGACUUCAAAUUAAAAUAGGUAAAACUCAUGACUGAUUCAAUUAGAGGAAUAUUUAUGAGUUGACACCAAUAUGUAGUUCAUUCUAUUUCUGACUCAAAUUUUGAAGUCCAUUCACAUUUUCUUCAGAUUGAAUUAUGGUUUGAUUAGAUUUUAUUUAUUUGUUUACAAUAAUGUCUGGAAGAGCUGGCCAUCAAUAUGAAGUCUCAAAUAGCUAGUAAUUAACGUAUAUCAUUUGAUGGAUGCUGAUUGUGAAGAGUGGAAGGAAACCUCUAUGACGACGGAAUCUGAUAUAAUUAGAUAAUAUCACUGUAUCACUGCGGAUCCCCCAACAAAGUCGCCUUAGAAUUUACUUGUGUAAAGAACUGGAUCGUGAAGUCAUCAGUAUUACUUCUGACAGUUGCGUUACUCAAGAAUGUAAGAUAAAUCGUGUAACUGCUUCUUCUGAAAUCAGCCAUACAUAUGAAGCAGAUGAUAAACAGAUUGUUUCAAGUUGUGUAGACUGAAACUGAAUUUCCGUAGAUUGGUGUCAUUUUAAAUGAGUCUGUUCCAUUGCUAAUGUAAAAAAUGAACUGAGCCUUUUGAACUAACUAAGGAUUGGAUGGGACAAAUAGUAAGUAGUGAGUGAGUAGAUAUACGAUUCAAAACAUAAGAUUCUUUCUCAGUUUAAUAUUUUCAUGUUGUCAUUAUAUUCAUUCCCCUGAAAUUCAUGUCGAAAUACAAACUGGAUUUCGAAGAUAUAUACUGGAAGGGCCACGUUUCACGCUAUCAAAUAAUGAUAUUGAAUAUCGUGAGUGGUUACAUUUUUUUGACAAUUUAUUUUGCAGUUUCACGUAGAAAUAGAGUCGAAAGAUUAGAGCAGCGUUCCUCCCCAACUGGGUCAGAUUUCCUACACAGGGAAGAAUUUUGUUGUUGUGGGGGAAACAAUUUGACUUUGUAUUUAGUGUAGUUUUAUUGAUAUUAGGAUUAGGAUUUACAUAUUUAUCCCGGGGGAGAGGAAAGCCGAUAAGACGGCUUAUUCAUAUGGCGAUCCACGGCCUCUCGUCCGGUUACCAUUC